rnacentral:rRNA from 1 species
UACGUAGGUGGCAAGCGUUGUCCGGAAUUAUUGGGCGUAAAGCGCGCGCAGGCGGCCUUUUAAGUCUGAUGUGAAAGCCCACGGCUCAACCGUGGAAGGUCAUUGGAAACUGAAAGGCUUGAGUACAGAAGAGGAAAGCGGAAUUCCACGUGUAGCGGUGAAAUGCGUAGAGAUGUGGAGGAACACCAGUGGCGAAGGCGGCCUUCUGGACCAAUACUGACGCUCAUGCACGAAAGCGUGGGGAGCAAACAGG